rnacentral:rRNA from 1 species
UGAAUCAGUAUGUGUGUUAGUGGAAGCGUCUGGAAAGGCGCGCGAUACAGGGUGACAGCCCCGUACACAAAAAUGCACAUAUUGUGAGCUCGAUGAGUAGGGCGGGACACGUGGUAUCCUGUCUGAAUAUGGGGGGACCAUCCUCCAAGGCUAAAUACUCCUGACUGACCGAUAGUGAACCAGUACCGUGAGGGAAAGGCGAAAAGAACCCCGGCGAGGGGAGUGAAAAAGAACCUGAAACCGUGUACGUACAAGCAGUGGGAGCACGCUUAGGCGUGUGACUGCGUACCUUUUGUAUAAUGGGUCAGCGACUUAUAUUCUGUAGCAAGGUUAACCGAAUAGGGGAGCCGAAGGGAAACCGAGUCUUAACUGGGCGUUAAGUUGCAGGGUAUAGACCCGAAACCCGGUGAUCUAGCCAUGGGCAGGUUGAAGGUUGGGUAACACUAACUGGAGGACCGAACCGACUAAUGUUGAAAAAUUAGCGGAUGACUUGUGGCUGGGGGUGAAAGGCCAAUCAAACCGGGAGAUAGCUGGUUCUCCCCGAAAGCUAUUUAGGUAGCGCCUCGUGAAUUCAUCUCCGGGGGUAGAGCACUGUUUCGGCAAGGGGGUCAUCCCGACUUACCAACCCGAUGCAAACUGCGAAUACCGGAGAAUGUUAUCACGGGAGACACACGGCGGGUGCUAACGUCCGUCGUGAAGAGGGAAACAACCCAGACCGCCAGCUAAGGUCCCAAAGUCAUGGUUAAGUGGGAAACGAUGUGGGAAGGCCCAGACAGCCAGGAUGUUGGCUUAGAAGCAGCCAUCAUUUAAAGAAAGCGUAAUAGCUCACUGGUCGAGUCGGCCUGCGCGGAAGAUGUAACGGGGCUAAACCAUG